rnacentral:rRNA from 1 species
AUGAACGCUAGCGGCAGGCCUAACACAUGCAAGUCGAGGGGCAGCACGAAUUAGCUUGCUAAUUUGGUGGCGACCGGCGCACGGGUGCGUAACGCGUAUGCAACCUACCUUAUACAGGGGUAUAGCCCGGAGAAAUUCGGAUUAAUCCCCCAUGGUACUGAGACAUCGCAUGGUGAUUCAGUUAAAGCUUCGGCGGUAUAAGAUGGGCAUGCGUCCUAUUAGCUAGAUGGUAAGGUAACGGCUUACCAUGGCUACGAUAGGUAGGGGGCCUGAGAGGGUGGUCCCCCACACUGGUACUGAGACACGGACCAGACUCCUACGGGAGGCAGCAGUGAGGAAUAUUGGUCAAUGGGCGCAAGCCUGAACCAGCCAUGCCGCGUGCAGGAAGAAUGCCCUAUGGGUUGUAAACUGCUUUUAUUUGGGAAUAAACCUUUCUACGUGUAGGAAGCUGAAGGUACCAAAUGAAUAAGCACCGGCUAACUCCGUGCCAGCAGCCGCGGUAAUACGGAGGGUGCAAGCGUUAUCCGGAAUCAUUGGGUUUAAAGGGUCCGCAGGCGGAUUUAUAAGUCAGUGGUGAAAGCCUACAGCUUAACUGUAGAACUGCCAUUGAUACUGUAAGUCUUGAAUUCGGUCGAAGUGGGCGGAAUGUGUAGUGUAGCGGUGAAAUGCAUAGAUAUUACACAGAACACCGAUAGCGAAGGCAGCUCACUAGGCCUGGAUUGACGCUCAGGGACGAAAGCGUGGGGAUCAAACAGGAUUAGAUACCCUGGUAGUCCACGCUGUAAACGAUGAUUACUCGUUUUCGGCGAUAUACGGUCGGAGACUAAGCGAAAGUGAUAAGUAAUCCACCUGGGGAGUACGAUCGCAAGGUUGAAAAUCUAAGGAAU